rnacentral:lncRNA from 1 species
AAAAAAAAGGUUGCGCAUAAGAGAUAACAGAGAGAAAAAAGCUGAAAAAAAGCGAAAGAGAGCAGUCGUAGCAAUACAAAGGAGACCUCUCAAUGGACUCAUCUUCUUCAGAUAAGCCAUCUUCCAUCGCUUCUUAAUAAAGAGCGCACAAGGACUCCCCCCAUGUCAUCUUCUUCUCCAAGAACCCAACCCCCUGAAGAUCGUCUUCUUUGUCACCCCUACCAAACCGGCGACCCUUCAUCUCCUCCACCAAGCUCGCCGAAAAUCCGACAAUGAUCUUCAUCAGAAACACACACACACGAACGCACACAGAGAUACACAACUACUUCAGUUUCAUUAUGAUGAUUUUGAUUUUCGGAUUUGUUGUGGAGUUCAAUUAAAUUUCAAAGUUUCGCUUCUUCUGAUUUCAAUGGAAAUUGAUUCGAUUCCGGUCAUGGAGUUUUGUUUGAGUUUUAUUGUUGUUUCUUUGGUUUGAUGGUGACUGUUCGAGGUAGAAGUUUUUCCGUCGAGGUCUUGUUCACAUCACCGAUUCUAUUUUUUGAGGUUAAUUUUCAUCUCUUGCUUUAUUAAGGUCUUGUUUGCGUUGGUGGUUGUUAAUGAAUUUUAUGGUGAUAGGCUGAAAUUUAAUUACCUCCUAUUGUUGUUUAAAGUUUACCGUGAAAUAGAUUGUAUCCAUAUAAGAAAGUAUUCAUUGCUAGUCAGUUCAUGAAAAAAAAUGAUUGUUGUUGUAAAAUUCGGAUUACAUUUCUAGUAUAACAACUUGGUUGUGUUCUUGAAUUUAUUUAAGCAUGUCUUCAUGUGUCCUCAAAUUAGUUUAAGUCACUACUAUUUGUUGAUAAGAAUAUCCUCUUUUAAUGUUGUCUCAUGGCAAAGAAAAGAUGUUUUCAGUUGUGGCUGGUUAGCUUUUUCAUCUGUUUCUAUGGAGCUUUUGGCUUGAAAUUUUGGUGUUAUUUUGGUGUUGUUUCAUGGUGGAGUUUGCAACAUUGUUUUUAGUUGUUUUCCUGCAUUUUGUGUAUAUUUUAGGCCAAAAACAAAGCUAUUUUCGGCUUAUUUCGGGCCGUUAUUGGGGAUGGUUUUGAUGAAAGAAAGGUGACAUUUCAGCGGCUUAUUUUUGCUGAAACAUUGCUGUUUGGAAAGUGAUUAAGGGCUGGUUUUCACGGUUGAUUUUGUUAGGUUUGGAGAUGAUUUUUUGUGUUAAUUUUCAAGUUGUUUUGAGGUAUCUUUGGGGGUUAAUGGAUUGGGUGAUGUGGGCUCCUUUCAUGUCUACAAUAAGACAAUAGAAAGAUGAAGAAGAUUUGUGUGCUCUUAUAGAUGAGCGUUCUUCAACCUUUUCCUAUGGGAAGUUCACGUGAGUAGUAAAAAUAUAAAAUGACCCAUAAUACUUUGUUUAACCACCAGCUGCACGAUGACCCCGAAUCUAGGAUUAAGCAAUUGGUGAACAAUGCGCUAGUUGCUUUAGGCGCGUUAUAAUAAAAUUAUCAUAGCUACGGGUACGGUUCCCAUGACGUAGUUGUGAUACGUAAUCCUAAAUUCGGGUGCGCAUUUAUGUGACCCAAAUCCAAAUCUCG